AACAAACGCUGGCGGCGUGCCUAAUACAUGCAAGUCGAACGGGGAAAGCUUUCGGGUGAGUACUAGUGGCGCACGGGUGAGGAACGCGUGGAUAAUCUGCCUUAGAGUGGGGGAUAACUAGUCGAAAGAUUAGCUAAUACCGCAUAAGACCACGAGAGCUGCGGCUUUUGAGGUCAAAGGUUUUUCGCUCUAAGAUGAGUCCGCGUAAGAUUAGCUAGUUGGUGAGGUAACGGCUCACCAAGGCGACGAUCUUUAACUAGUCUGAGAGGAUGAUCAGUCACACUGGAACUGAGACACGGUCCAGACUCCUACGGGAGGCAGCAGUAGGGAAUAUUGCACAAUGGAGGAAACUCUGAUGCAGCGACGCCGCGUGAGUGAUGAAGGCCUUCGGGUCGUAAAGCUCUGUCGCAGGGGAAUAACACAAUGAAGGUACCCUGUAAGAAAGGAUCGGCUAACUUCGUG
rnacentral:rRNA from 1 species